CUANCAUGCAAGUCGAGCGAACAGACGAGGAGCUUGCUCCUCUGACGUUAGCGGCGGACGGGUGAGUAACACGUGGAUAACCUACCUAUAAGACUGGGAUAACUUCGGGAAACCGGAGCUAAUACCGGAUAAUAUAUUGAACCGCAUGGUUCAAUAGUGAAAGACGGUUUUGCUGUCACUUAUAGAUGGAUCCGCGCCGCAUUAGCUAGUUGGUAAGGUAACGGCUUACCAAGGCAACGAUGCGUAGCCGACCUGAGAGGGUGAUCGGCCACACUGGAACUGAGACACGGUCCAGACUCCUACGGGAGGCAGCAGUAGGGAAUCUUCCGCAAUGGGCGAAAGCCUGACGGAGCAACGCCGCGUGAGUGAUGAAGGUCUUCGGAUCGUAAAACUCUGUUAUUAGGGAAGAACAAAUGUGUAAGUAACUAUGCACGUCUUGACGGUACCUAAUCAGAAAGCCACGGCUAACUACGUGCCAGCAGCCGCGGUAAUACGUAGGUGGCAAGCGUUAUCCGGAAUUAUUGGGCGUAAAGCGCGCGUAGGCGGUUUUUUAAGUCUGAUGUGAAAGCCCACGGCUCAACCGUGGAGGGUCAUUGGAAACUGGAAAACUUGAGUGCAGAAGAGGAAAGUGGAAUUCCAUG
rnacentral:rRNA from 2 species